GUAGUUAUGUCAGAAGUUUAUGAGAUAGCUUUAAGCGCUAUUUAUGGUGUGACCUGACUAUU
rnacentral:tRNA from 1 species